rnacentral:rRNA from 1 species
CCUGGAAACAGAUGCUAAUACCGGAUAACAANAGAUGAUGCCUAUCAACUGUUUAAAAGAUGGUUCUGCUAUCACUCUUGGAUGGACCUGCGGUGCAUUAGCUAGUUGGUAGGGUAACGGCCUACCAAGGCGAUGAUGCAUAGCCGAGUUGAGAGACUGAUCGGCCACAUUGGGACUGAGACACGGCCCAAACUCCUACGGGAGGCAGCAGU